GACACAUCUGUUUGCAGUUGGGCACUUACCCAGGACAGUCAUUGGCUUCAGACUCCUAAAGGACCCACGUCAGAUGGGCAGAUACUGACUGAGCACAUACUAUAUCCUGGGGACUGUUCUGUGGGCUGGAGUUACAACAUGGGACAAGACAGAUGCUUAUCUUCAGCACAACCUCUGGUUCACAAACCUGUCUGCUGCUGUUCCCCGCCUCCCCACCCCGAGACCGGGUUUUAUCUUUCCCAAAGCUGUGUUUGAGUGGGGCCCCAUCCCCAUCCUACAUCACCAUGGGAGGAAAUCUCCCAGACCCAGCCCCCCUCCAAGUGUUGGGGAAGCCACUCAUGAGAAAGCACUGCUAUGAUUGAAAGGCAGCUCCACAGCUUCCCAGGUUCCAGAGGAUUCUUUCUCCAUAUCACUUGCCCUGUGUCUUCAAAACAAAAGGCAACUGUGUCUGACUGCAAAGGUUUGAGGUUUGCUGAGCUGACACGCAGCUUCAGAAUGCAGUGAGUGAGGGUUUGAGCUGUGGAAGAGCUUUGGCUUAUAAAAAAGACAAAUUAAUUAACUUGUCAAAUCCUUUUUCUCAGAACACAUGAAUACAAUUGAUUCUUGCAUAAUGAAGGUUGUUUCUUAGUAGCACCAAGCAUCCAUUUUCUUGCUUCUUUUCUCAUUCCAUUUCCUGGCUCUCGCAGUGUGCACAAAUUAGGGUUGUAUUUGCAAGUUACAUAUGAAAACUGAGGAACAUUUUGCAAAAUUAAACAAUACAUAUUCUUCCUACGUUUGUAUCUAUGUAGGUCCAGAUGUGACAGAUGUGAAGCAUGAUACUGAGACAAACUAAACGUUAAACUCUAGAAUUGUGCAUAUUUUACGUUAUAAAAGUAUUAAAUAUUUAAUUAAAUUUUCAAAAACAAAUAAAAUUUUAGCUUUAUUAAUUUCAUUUAAAAU
rnacentral:lncRNA from 1 species